rnacentral:rRNA from 1 species
AUUGAACGCUGGCGGCAUGCCUUACACAUGCAGGUCGAACGGUAACAGGUUAAGCUGACGAGUGGCGAACGGGUGAGUAAUGUAUCGGAACGUGCCCAGUCGUGGGGGAUAACUGCUCGAAAGAGCAGCUAAUACCGCAUACGACCUGAGGGUGAAAGCGGGGGAUCGCAAGACCUCGCGCGACUGGAGCGGCCGAUAUCAGAUUAGGUAGUAGGUGGGGUAAAGGCCUACCAAGCCUACGAUCUGUAGCUGGUCUGAGAGGACGACCAGCCACACUGGGACUGAGACACGGCCCAGACUCCUACGGGAGGCAGCAGUGGGGAAUUUUGGACAAUGGACGCAAGUCUGAUCCAGCCAUGCCGCGUGCGGGAAGAAGGCCUUCGGGUUGUAAACCGCUUUUGUCAGGGAAGAAAAGGUUCUGGUUAAUACCUGGGACUCAUGACGGUACCUGAAGAAUAAGCACCGGCUAACUACGUGCCAGCAGCCGCCGUAAGAC